rnacentral:tRNA from 1 species
GGGCGUAUAGCUCAGUGGUAGAGCGCGUCACUGAUAAUGACGAGGUCCUAAGUUCGAUCCUUAGUACGCCCACCA